rfam:Flavobacterium suncheonense GH29-5 = DSM 17707 strain GH29-5 contig10, whole genome shotgun sequence.
GAUUAUCGGAGGAUAAGACCUGAAUUCAUAAUC